AUGGGUCUAUUUGAGUUCCUAGUAAUGCCCUUUGGAGUGAAAAAUGGUCCUCCUACAUUUAUAGGACGCAUGCAUACUGUAUUGGGGCCUCUCCUGAGACACUGUGUGCUAGUUUUCUUUGAUGAUAUCCUCAUGUUUAGUAAAACAUACAAGGAGCACUUGGAACAUGUGGCCCUGGUUCUGGAAGCACUUAGGAAACAUCAAUUAUAUGCAAAGCUCUCUAAGUGCACAUUUGCACAAAACAAAGUGGAAUAUUUGGGCUAUGUAAUCACUGACAAGGGAGUAUCCAUAGAACCUGCUAAAGUAGAAGCAAUCAUAAACUGGCCCACACCUCAGAAUGUGACACACUUGAGAAGUUUCUUGGGAUUAGCUGGGUAUUACAGGAGGUUUGGUCAGAAUUAUGGACUGAUUUGCAAGCCACUGUUUGAUGCAUUGAAAAAGGAUGGAUUUACAUGGACUGAAACACAACAGGCUGCUUUCCAGCAAUUAAAGGACAGGAUGACUUCUGCCCCAGUCCUUGCCUUACCUGAUUUUUCCUUGCCCUUUGUAUUGGAAGCUGAUGCUUCUGGAUAUGGAAUUGGAGCAGUACUAAUGCAGAAGGGACAACCUAUUGCAUAUAUGAGCAAAGCCCUGGGCCCUAAAGCUGCUGGCUGGUCCACCUAUGACAAAGAGGCACUGGCAAUCAUUGAAGCAAUUAAGAAAUGGAAGCAUUACUUUGCUUCAUCCUCUCUGAUUAUCAGAACUGACCAGCAGAGUUCGAAAUACAUACAAGAGCAAAAAGUAACUGAAGGGAUCCAUCACAAACUUCUCAUUAAAUUAAUGGGUUACAAGUUCAUAGUGGAAUACAAGAAAGGUAAAGAAACAGAGUGGCUGAUGCUCUCUCUAGAGUUAAAUAUGCUCUCAAUGUUUUAG
rnacentral:rRNA from 1 species